rfam:Martelella sp. AD-3, complete genome.
GAUCAAGUGAUUUAAGGGCAUUUGGUGGAUGCCUUGGCAUGCACAGGCGAUGAAGGACGUGAUACGCUGCGAAAAGCCGUGGGGAGCUGCGAAUAAGCUUUGAUCCAUGGAUAUCCGAAUGGGGAAACCCACCUUAGAUAUCUAGAAAAUCAUUCCGGUUGGAAUGAUUUGUCUAGCAUUAAUUGAUCUCACGCCCCGUACCGCAGGUCUUCGACCUGCUGGGGCUGCGAUGGCGCGCCGCAUGAGCGGCGACGGCCGGUCGGCCUUGCGACGCGGAUGCGUCGAACUUUUUUCCCGCGAUAGUUUUGGAAAAGAGGCCUGAAGGAGCUUUGCUCCGGAGGCAAGCGCGACCGCGCGUCGGCCACGUUUGGCCGCCCCGUCCGGAGCGAAGCGAUCGAAGAUCGCGACAGCGUGAGGACAAGACAAAUCAAUCGGGUUGCCGAGCGGCAACCGGAAUGGUUUCUAGAUAUCGCUAUAAGGUAUCUUAACUUGAAUACAUAGGGUUAAGAAGCGAACGCGGGGAACUGAAACAUCUAAGUACCCGUAGGAAAGGACAUCAAUCGAGACUCCGCAAGUAGUGGCGAGCGAACGCGGAUGAGGCCAGUGGCAAUGAUGAAUAAAGCAGAACAGGUUGGGAAGCCUGGCGAGAUGGGUGAUAGCCCCGUAUGCGUAGAACAAUCAUUGUCCUUGAGUAGGGCGGGACACGUGAAAUCCUGUUCGAACAUGGGGCGACCACGCUCCAAGCCUAAGUACUCGUGCAUGACCGAUAGCGAACCAGUACCGUGAGGGAAAGGUGAAAAGCACCCCGACAAGGGGAGUGAAAGAGAACCUGAAACCGGAUGCCUACAAACAGUCGAAGCCCGCAAGGGUGACGGCGUACCUUUUGUAUAAUGGGUCAACGACUUAGUGUAUCUAGCAAGCUUAAGCCGGUAGGUGGAGGCGCAGCGAAAGCGAGUCUUAAUAGGGCGAUUGAGUUAGAUGCAUUAGACCCGAAACCGAGUGAUCUAGCCAUGAGCAGGUUGAAGGUUGGGUAACACCAACUGGAGGACCGAACCCGCAUCUGUUGCAAUAGAUUGGGAUGACUUGUGGCUAGGGGUGAAAGGCCAAUCAAACUCGGAGAUAGCUGGUUCUCCGCGAAAUCUAUUUAGGUAGAGCGUUGAAUGAAUACCUUCGGGGGUAGAGCACUGGAUGGGCUAUGGGGACUCACCGUCUUACUGAUCCUAACCAAACUGCGAAUACCGAAGAGUACUGUUCAGCAGACACACGGCGGGUGCUAACGUCCGUCGUGAAAAGGGCAACAACCCUGACCUCCAGCUAAGGUCCCCAAGUCAUGGCUAAGUGGGAAAGGAUGUGAGGAUCCCAAAACAACCAGGAUGUUGGCUUAGAAGCAGCCAUCAUUUAAAGAAAGCGUAACAGCUCACUGGUCUAAAUAAGGGUCUUUGCGCCGAAAAUGUACCGGGGCUCAAGCCAUGCACCGAAGCUGAGGAUGUGGAUUUAUCCACGUGGUAGCGGAGCGUUCCGUAGGCUGAUGAAGGGAUACCCGUGAGGGGUCCUGGAGGUAUCGGAAGUGCGAAUGUUGACAUGAGUAACGAUAAAGAGGGUGAGAGACCCUCUCGCCGAAAGACCAAGGGUUCCUGCUUAAAGUUAAUCUGAGCAGGGUUAGCCGGCCCCUAAGACGAGGCGGAAACGCGUAGUCGAUGGGAACCACGUUAAUAUUCGUGGGCCAGGCGGUGGUGACGGAUUGCACAAAUCGUACAUUCUUAUUGGAUUGAGUGUGCGGUGGAGCGGUUCCAGGAAAUAGCCCCGUCGUGAGACCGUACCCGAAACCGACACAGGUGGUCAGGUAGAGUAUACCAAGGCGCUUGAGAGAACUGCGUUGAAGGAACUCGGCAAAUUGCACGCGUAACUUCGGAAGAAGCGUGACCCUUUGAUACGCAAGUAUCGGAGGGUGGCACAGACCAGGGGGUAGCGACUGUUUAUCAAAAACACAGGGCUCUGCGAAGUCUUUAAGACGACGUAUAGGGUCUGACGCCUGCCCGGUGCUGGAAGGUUAAGAGGAGAUGUGCAAGCAUUGAAUCGAAGCCCCAGUAAACGGCGGCCGUAACUAUAACGGUCCUAAGGUAGCGAAAUUCCUUGUCGGGUAAGUUCCGACCUGCACGAAUGGCGUAACGACUUCCCCGCUGUCUCCAACGCAGACUCAGUGAAAUUGAAUUCCCCGUGAAGAUGCGGGGUUCCUGCGGUCAGACGGAAAGACCCCGUGCACCUUUACUAUAGCUUUACACUGGCAUUCGCCAAGGCAUGUGUAGGAUAGGUGGUAGGCUUUGAAGCAGGGACGCCAGUUCUUGUGGAGCCAUCCUUGAAAUACCACCCUUAUCUUCGUGGAUGUCUAACCGCGAUCCGUCAUCCGGAUCCGGGACAGUGUAUGGUGGGUAGUUUGACUGGGGCGGUCGCCUCCUAAAGAGUAACGGAGGCGCGCGAUGGUGGGCUCAGACCGGUCGGAAAUCGGUCGUCGAGUGCAAUGGCAUAAGCCCGCCUGACUGCGAGACUGACAAGUCGAGCAGAGACGAAAGUCGGUCAUAGUGAUCCGGUGGUCCCGCGUGGAAGGGCCAUCGCUCAACGGAUAAAAGGUACGCCGGGGAUAACAGGCUGAUGACCCCCAAGAGUCCAUAUCGACGGGGUUGUUUGGCACCUCGAUGUCGGCUCAUCGCAUCCUGGGGCUGGAGCAGGUCCCAAGGGUUUGGCUGUUCGCCAAUUAAAGCGGUACGUGAGCUGGGUUCAGAACGUCGUGAGACAGUUCGGUCCCUAUCUGCCGUGGGUGUAGGAAUAUUGACAGGAUCUGUCCCUAGUACGAGAGGACCGGGAUGGACGUAUCUCUGGUGGACCUGUUGUGGCGCCAGCCGCAUAGCAGGGUAGCUAUAUACGGAAUGGAUAACCGCUGAAGGCAUCUAAGCGGGAAACCAACCUGAAAACGAGUGUUCCCUAUCAGAGCCGUUGUAGACGACAACGUUGAUAGGCCGGGUGUGGAAGCGCAGCAAUGUGUGAAGCUUACCGGUACUAAUCGCUCGAUUGGCUUGAUCGU